rnacentral:rRNA from 1 species
GAUGAACGCUGGCGGCGUGCCUAAUACAUGCAAGUCGAGCGGACGGACGCUGAUCUUGCUUUUCUGACGUUAGCGGCGGACGGGUGAGUAACACGUGUAUAACCUACCUAUCAUACUGGGAUCACUUCGGGAAACCGGCGCUUAUACCGUAUAAUCUUUUGAACCGCAUUGGUCAUAAGUGAAAUACGGCCUUUCUGUCACUUCUCGCUGGUUCCGAGCUGCAUUAGCUAGUUGGUAAGGUAACGGCUUACCACGGCAACGAUGCCUAGCCGACCUGAGAGGGUGAUCGGCGACAUUGGAACUGAGACACGGUCCAGACUACUACGGGAGGGAGCAGUAGGGAAUGUUCGGCAACGGGGGAAAGCAUGACGGAGCAAGGCCGCGUGAGAGAUGGAGGUCUUCGGAUCGUAAAACUCUGUUAUUAGGGAAGAACAUAUGUGUAAGGAACUGUGCACAGCGUGACGGUACCGAAUCAGAAAGCCACGGCUAACUACGUG